UAAAAUAAUUAAGGGCACACAAAGGAUGCCUAGGUAGUAAGAGCCGAUGAAGGACGUGGUAAGCUGCGAUAAGCCUAGAUAAGUUGCAAUCGAACGUAAGAGUCUAGGAUUUCCGAAUGGAGCAAUCUAUUAAGAUGGAGUCUUAAUACGAAAGAGGGAACCGCGUGAACUGAAACAUCUAAGUAACGCGAGGAAAAGAAAGUAAAAACGAUACCCAAAGUAGCGGCGAGCGAAAUGGGUCAAGCCUAAACCUUAAAUAUGUCAAGGAUACAGCCGUUGUAUUUAAGGGGUUGAGGGACAGAGUGGUGAAGAACUGUAAGAUAUUCAAUAUAGUGUAUUGAUGAAUUAGAAUAGUCUGGAAAGGCUAACCGUAGAAGGUGAAAGUCCUGUAUAAGUAAAUCCUUACACAUAUAACUUUGCUCCCAAGUAACAUGGAACACGAGGAAUUCUGUGUGAAUCUGUGAGGACCAUAUCUCAUAAGGCUAAAUACUCUUACUAACCGAUAGCGCAUAGUACCGUGAGGGAAAGGUGAAAAGAACCCCUGGAGGGGAGUGAAAUAGAACCUGAAAUUGUGUGCUUACAAGCGGUCAGAGCCCAUUUGGGUGAUGGCGUGCCUUUUGGAGAAUGAUCCUGCGAGUUACGUUAAACGGCGAGGUUAAGUAUAACGGAGCCGAAGGGAAACCAAGUCUUAAUAGGGCGAUUUAGUCGUUUGGCGUAGACGCGAAACCUGGUGAUCUAAACCUGUCCAGGAUGAAGCUGUGGUAAGACACAGUGGAGGUCCUAACCCACCGCCGUUGAAAAGUUGGGGGAUGAGGUAGGUUUAGGGGUGAAAAGCCAAUCGAACCAGGAGAUAGCUCGUUCUCUCCGAAAUGCAUCUAGGUGCAGCCUUGAGUGUUCAAUUAUGGGGGUAGAGCACUGAAUGAUCUAGGGGGCAUAUUGCUUACUGAAAUCAAUCAAACUCCGAAUACCAUAAUUUAUAGCUCAGGAGUGAGACUAUGGGAGUUAACUUCCAUUGUCAAAAGGGAAACAACCCAGACCACCAGCUAAGGUCCCUAAUUAUAACUAAGUGGGAAAGGAGGUGGAGAUUCACAAACAACUAGGAGGUUGGCUUAGAAGCAGCCAUACCUUUAAAGAGUGCGUAAUAGCUCACUAGUCGAGAGUCUCUGCGCCGACAAUGUAACGGGGCUAAGUUAUAAACCGAAGCUGUGGAAUCCUUAUGGAUUGGUAGGAGAGCGUUCUGUAGGCCGUUGAAGAAGAAGGGUAACCAACUUUGGAGGUAUCAGAAGUGAGAAUGCAGGAAUAAGUAGCGAGAAAGGGGGCGAGAAUCCCCCUCGCCGGAAGACCAAGGUUUUCAGGGUAAAGCUUGUCUUCCCUGAGUAAGCCGGGACCUAAGCCCAGGCUAUAAUGCGUAGGCGAAUGGAAAACAGAUUAAUAUUUCUGUGCCAGUCAUGUAUUGUGAUGGAGGGACGCAGAAGGGUAUGCGCGCGGACGAACGGAAGUGUCCGUAGAAGUAUGUAGGGUGACUUAGUAGGAAAAUCCAUUAAGUUAGAUCUGAGGUAUGAUAUACAGUCGUAAGAUGAAUGCGCAAAUCCCACGCUGCCAAGAAAAGCUUCUAACGUUAAUAUAUGACUGCCCGUACUGUAAACCGACACAGGUGGUCAGGAUGAGAAAUCUAAGGCGGACAGGCUAACUCUCGUUAAGGAACUCUGCAAAAUAACCUCGUAACUUCGGGAGAAGAGGAGCCCUUGGGUGUUAGUAUCCACGCGAUACAAAGCGCUCGAGGGUCGCAGUGAAGAGGCUCAAGCAACUGUUUAACAAAAACACAGGUCUAUGCUAAGCUGUAAGGCGAUGUAUAUGGGCUGACACCUGCCCAGUGCUGGAAGGUUAAGAGGAGGAGUGAGAGCUCCGAAUUGAAGCCCCAGUGAACGGCGGCCGUAACUAUAACGGUCCUAAGGUAGCGAAAUUCCUUGUCAGGUAAG
rnacentral:rRNA from 1 species